rnacentral:rRNA from 1 species
AACCCUUGUCCUUAGUUACCAGCACGUUAUGGUGGGCACUCUAAGGAGACUGCCGGUGACAAACCGGAGGAAGUGGGGAUGACGUCAAGUCAUCAUGGCCCUUACGGCCUGGGCUACACACGUGCUACAAUGGUCGGUACAAAGGGUUGCCAAGCCGCGAGGUGGAGCUAAUCCCAUAAAACCGAUCGUAGUCCGGAUCGCAGUCUGCAACUCGACUGCGUGAAGUCGGAAUCGCUAGUAAUCGCGAAUCAGAAUGUCACGGUGAAUACGUUCCCGGGCCUU